rnacentral:rRNA from 1 species
AUGAAGGAGAGUUCUACAGCUACUCCUAUUGAAAUCUGUGACAUGGAACCAGAUGUAUUCAAUUCCUUGCUCCACUACAUAUACACCGAUUCAGUCCCUCCGAUGCUUGAUGUGGUGAUGGCUGGCCAUCUUCUAGUGGCGGCCGACAGGUACAAUAUUGUCAGGCUAAAGCAGAUAUGCGAGGAGAAACUGUGCAAUCACAUUGAUUCCAACAUGGUGGCAACUAAUUUGGCUCUAGCAGAGCAGCAUGGUUUCUGUCAUCUCAAAGAAGCUUGUUUGCAAUUCCUUGCCUCCCCAUCCAAUUUGGAGGCAAUGAUUGCAAGUGAGGGUUACGAGCAUCUUAAGUCCAGCUGCCCGUCUGUUCUCAAGGAGCCCAUAGCAAGAAUCCUGCCGGCUGAACUGAAAGCGGCAAAGGAUAUCAUC